rnacentral:rRNA from 1 species
GAUGAACGCUGGCGGCGUGCCUAAUACAUGCAAGUCGAGCGAACGGACGAGAAGCUUGCUUCUCUGAUGUUAGCGGCGGACGGGUGAGUAACACGUGGAUAACCUACCUAUAAGACUGGGAUAACUUCGGGAAACCGGAGCUAAUACCGGAUAAUAUUUUGAACCGCAUGGUUCAAAAGUGAAAGACGGUCUUGCUGUCACUUAUAGAUGGAUCCGCGCUGCAUUAGCUAGUUGGUAAGGUAACGGCUUACCAAGGCAACGAUGCAUAGCCGACCUGAGAGGGUGAUCGGCCACACUGGAACUGAGACACGGUCCAGACUCCUACGGGAGGCAGCAGUAGGGAAUCUUCCGCAAUGGGCGAAAGCCUGACGGAGCAACGCCGCGUGAGUGAUGAAGGUCUUCGGAUCGUAAAACUCUGUUAUUAGGGAAGAACAUAUGUGUAAGUAACUGUGCACAUCUUGACGGUACCUAAUCAGAAAGCCACGGCUAACUACGUGCCAGCAGCCGCGGUAAUACGUAGGUGGCAAGCGUUAUCCGGAAUUAUUGGGCGUAAAGCGCGCGUAGGCGGUUUUUUAAGUCUGAUGUGAAAGCCCACGGCUCAACCGUGGAGGGUCAUUGGAAACUGGAAAACUCGAGUGCAGAAGAGGAAAGUGGAAUUCCAUGUGUAGCGGUGAAAUGCGCAGAGAUAUGGAGGAACACCAGUGGCGAAGGCGACUUUCUGGUCUGUAACUGACGCUGAUGUGCGAAAGCGUGGGGAUCAAACAGGAUUAGAUACCCUGGUAGUCCACGCCGUAAACGAUGAGUGCUAAGUGUUAGGGGGUUUCCGCCCCUUAGUGCUGCAGCUAACGCAUUAAGCACUCCGCCUGGGGAGUACGACCGCAAGGUUGAAACUCAAAGGAAUUGACGGGGACCCGCACAAGCGGUGGAGCAUGUGGUUUAAUUCGAAGCAACGCGAAGAACCUUACCAAAUCUUGACAUCCUUUGACAACUCUAGAGAUAGAGCCUUCCCCUUCGGGGGACAAAGUGACAGGUGGUGCAUGGUUGUCGUCAGCUCGUGUCGUGAGAUGUUGGGUUAAGUCCCGCAACGAGCGCAACCCUUAAGCUUAGUUGCCAUCAUUAAGUUGGGCACUCUAAGUUGACUGCCGGUGACAAACCGGAGGAAGGUGGGGAUGACGUCAAAUCAUCAUGCCCCUUAUGAUUUGGGCUACACACGUGCUACAAUGGACAAUACAAAGGGCAGCGAAACCGCGAGGUCAAGCAAAUCCCAUAAAGUUGUUCUCAGUUCGGAUUGUAGUCUGCAACUCGACUACAUGAAGCUGGAAUCGCUAGUAAUCGUAGAUCAGCAUGCUACGGUGAAUACGUUCCCGGGUCU